rnacentral:lncRNA from 7 species
UGAAACUGCAGAUCUAUCAACAAAAACGUAAAGCGUGACACUUGACUUGGCAGGUCUGUGAGAAGGUCAGCUUCCCCGUGUUUGUAUUUCAGCCAUCAUCCUCCAUACUGGAGAGGCUUUAUCCGCUUGGCUUGCUUAAUUGCAGCACGUUUGACACGCAUGGAUAACCUGUGCAAUAGCGUCCUUGAUCCAGACCCCAUUUCCAUAUUGCAUCUCUUCCCCAAUGGCCUGAGGUGUCAUGGGUGCACCGAGCUGGAAAUAAUUCCCUCCUGGGGCUGUUGAAGCCCUAGAAAUGUUUGCCAAGUGAAGCUGGGAUGCUCCAUCCCUGGAGGUGUUCAGGCCAGGCUGGGUGGGGCUCGGCAGCAUGACCCCGUGGGUGGCAUCCCUGCCCACGGCAGUGGGGUUGGGGUUCUAAGCUCUUUGCUGUCCCUUCCACCCCAAGCCGCUCUAUGAUUCUGCGUUUCUAUGACGUAAGCACGGGCCCCACGCAGCCCUGGUGCAGCACAUCACAAGAGCAGCAGCCCGCGGGGAGCCGCAGGCUUUGCUCUGUGCGACGCUCACUGUGGCUGCAGCGGUGGUGUUGGAAGCAUGGUGCGAGGUGGGGAGCCAUGGCCCCUGCCCGCUUUGUCCUCUUCCUCCUACUGAUGGCCAUGUGUUUCCGGGAGACCUGUGCUGCUCCGUGGCGAGCACCGGGAGCAGGUGGGUGGGCAGAGAUGGGACACGGACUGAGCAGCAGUGGGGGCAAGAAGUCAGGCUGUGUCCCCACGGCCCUGUGCCACAC